AAAACGACUCUCGGCAACGGAUAUCUCGGCUCUCGCAUCGAUGAAGAACGCAGCAAAAUGCGAUACUUGGUGUGAAUUGCAGAAUCCCGUGAACCAUCGAGUUUUUGAACGCAAGUUGCGCCCAAACCCUUCGGGUCGAGGGCACGUCUGCCUGGGUGUCACGC
rnacentral:rRNA from 1 species